GACGUAGGGCGCGAGCGUUGUCCGGAUUUAUUGGGCGUAAAGAGCUCGUAGGCGGCUUGUCGCGUCGUCUGUGAAAACCCGCGGCUCAACGGCGGGCUUGCAGUCGAUACGGGCAGGCUGGAGUUCGGAAGAGGCGAGUGGAAUUCCUGGUGUAGCGGUGAAAUGCGCAGAUAUCAGGAGGAACACCAAUGGCGAAGGCAGCUCGCUGGGACGACACUGACGCUGAGACGCGAAAGCGUGGGGAGCAAACAGG
rnacentral:rRNA from 1 species